rnacentral:rRNA from 1 species
CCUACGGGGGGCAGCAGUGGGGAAUAUUGGACAAUGGGCGAAAGCCUGAUCCAGCCAUGCCGCGUGUGUGAAGAAGGCCUUCGGGUUGUAAAGCACUUUCAGUGGGGAAGAAAGCCUUGGGGCUAAUACCCUCGAGGAAGGACAUUACCCACAGAAGAAGCACCGGCUAACUCCGUGCCAGUAGCCGCGGUAAUACGGAGGGUGCGAGCGUUAAUCGGAAUUACUGGGCGUAAAGCGCGCGUAGGCGGUCUGAUAAGCCGGUUGUGAAAGCCCCGGGCUCAACCUGGGAACGGCAUCCGGAACUGGCAGGCUAGAGUCCUGUAGAGGAAGGUAGAAUUCCCGGUGUAGCGGUGAAAUGCGUAGAGAUCGGGAGGAAUACCAGUGGCGAAGGCGGCCCCCUGGACAGAGACUGACGCUCAGGUGCGAAAGCGUGGGUAGCAAACAGGAUUAGAUACCCCUGUAGUC